UGGGGAAUUUUGGACAAUGGGCGCAAGCNGAUCCAGCCAUGCCGCGUGAGUGAAGAAGGCCUUCGGGUUGUAAAGCUCUUUCAGACGGAAAGAAAUCUUCUGGGCUAAUACCCUGGGAGGAUGACGGUACCGUAAGAAGAAGCACCGGCUAACUACGUGCCAGCAGCCGCGGUAAUACGUAGGGUGCGAGCGUUAAUCGGAAUUACUGGGCGUAAAGCGUGCGCAGGCGGUUAUGUAAGACAGAUGUGAAAUCAACCCCCCGNNCCCCACCUGGGAACUGCGUUUGUGACUGCAUAACUAGAGUACGGCAGAGGGAGGUGGAAUUCCGCGUGUAGCAGUGAAAUGCGUAGAUAUGCGGAGGAACACCGAUGGCGAAGGCAGCCUCCUGGGCCAGUACUGACGCUCAUGCACGAAAGCGUGGGGAGCAAACAGGAUUAGAUACCCUGGUAGUCCACGCCCUAAACGAUGUCAACUAGUUGUUCGGUGAGGAGACUCAUUGAGUAACGCAGCUAACGCGUGAAGUUGACCGCCUGGGGAGUACGGCCGCAAGGUUA
rnacentral:rRNA from 1 species